rnacentral:rRNA from 1 species
AGCAGUAGCCGCGGGAAUACGGAGGGUGCAAGCGUUAUCCGGAUUUAUUGGGUUUAAAGGGUCCGUAGGCGGACUUAUAAGUCAGUGGUGAAAGCCUGUCGCUUAACGAUAGAACUGCCAUUGAUACUGUAAGUCUUGAGUAUAUUUGAGGUAGCUGGAAUAAGUAGUGUAGCGGUGAAAUGCAUAGAUAUUACUUAGAACACCAAUUGCGAAGGCAGGUUACCAAGAUAUAACUGACGCUGAGGGACGAAAGCGUGGGUAGCGAACAGGAUUAGAUACCCGGGUAGUCCCUGUCUCUUAUAC